rnacentral:rRNA from 1 species
UACGGAGGGGGCUAGCGUUGUUCGGAAUUACUGGGCGUAAAGCGCACGUAGGCGGCUUUGUAAGUUAGAGGUGAAAGCCCGGAGCUCAACUCCGGAAUUGCCUUUAAGACUGCAUCGCUUGAAUCAUGGAGAGGUGAGUGGAAUUCCGAGUGUAGAGGUGAAAUUCGUAGAUAUUCGGAAGAACACCAGUGGCGAAGGCGACUUACUGGACACAUAUUGACGCUGAGGUGCGAAAGCGUGGGGGAG